CCUAAUGAUGACAAGCUGUCGCCCCAAGCGGAUUUCGAAAGCAUGAACGAGUCGACUAAAUUAGCCAAACACUGAAAAUUCUGAUC
rnacentral:ncRNA from 22 species